rnacentral:rRNA from 1 species
GUGGGGAAUAUUGGGCAAUGGGCGAAAGCCUGACCCAGCAACGCCGCGUGAAGGAAGAAGGUUUUCGGAUCGUAAACUUCUAUCCUUGGUGAAGAUAAUGACGGUAGCCAAGAAGGAAGCCCCGGCUAACUACGUGCCAGCAGCCGCGGUAAUACGUAGGGGGCAAGCGUUGUCCGGAAUGAUUGGGCGUAAAGGGCGCGUAGGCGGCCCGGUAAGUCUGAAGUGAAAGUCCUGCUUUUAAGGUGGGAAUUGCUUUGGAUACUGUCGGGCUUGAGUGCAGGAGAGGUAAGCGGAAUUCCCGGUGUAGCGGUGAAAUGCGUAGAGAUCGGGAGGAACACCAGUGGCGAAGGCGGCUUACUGGACUGUAACUGACGCUGAGGCGCGAAAGCCAGGGGAGCAAACGGGAUUAGAAACCCGGGUAGUCC